rnacentral:rRNA from 1 species
GAUGAACGCUGGCGGCGUGCCUAAUACAUGCAAGUCGAGCGAAUGGAUUAAGAGCUUGCUCUUAUGAAGUUAGCGGCGGACGGGUGAGUAACACGUGGGUAACCUGCCCAUAAGACUGGGAUAACUCCGGGAAACCGGGGCUAAUACCGGAUAACAUUUUGAACCGCAUGGUUCGAAAUUGAAAGGCGGCUUCGGCUGUCACUUAUGGAUGGACCCGCGUCGCAUUAGCUAGUUGGUGAGGUAACGGCUCACCAAGGCAACGAUGCGUAGCCGAACUGAGAGGGUGAACGGCCACACUGGGACUGAGACACGGCACAGACUCCUACGGGAGGCAGCAGUAGGGAAUCUUCCGCAAUGGACGAAAGUCUGACGGAGGAACGCCGCGUGAGUGAUGAAGGCUUUCGGGUCGUAAAACUCUGUUGUUAGGGAAGAACAAGUGCUAGUUGAAUAAGCUGGCACCUUGACGGUACCUAACCAGAAAGCCACGGCUAACUACGUGCCAGCCGCCGCCGUAA